AUGUUCUUGUUUGGGAUGUUUGAUUUUCUGUUGCUUUGAUGAUUGGUAGAGCACAAGGUUCUUAAUUUUGAGUUCGUGGGAUCGAGUUCACUGAGGAGGACAUUUCAUAAUUCGGAGGAUGCUCGGCAACGUCGAAAGUAAACCCGAUCCGCUACUCCCCAUUUUUUGACAGAACAAAUGGCCCUAUAUAAUUCCCAUAUGGGAUCAAUGGUUUGAAGGCCCCCAAGAAGCUCAAGGUUGCAAAUGUUGGAUACUGUUGAUAGGUUUUUUUGGGUAAACUACGCGUUUAGUAGCUAAACUAUCAGUUUUGGUCCGU